AUAUGGUUGCGACUCGCCGACUCGUAAGCAGUGGCUACAAGGGAAGGAGGAGAAGGCUUGAGAGAAGUAUUGAUAUUUUUGUUUUCGCAUGGCUCAACUCCAUAGCUCUGCAUUCUCUGCAGAUACAGGAGGUGCCGCAUGAACCUUGGAUGAGUUGUCCUCUUAUAAGCUUCUGAAGUUUAAGGCUUCAGAAAUUCUGAUCUAUAGCUGAAACCAUGUCUGCUACUUCCUUGUUCUCCACCCCACCAAUACACCCCCCAAGCAAAUCCAGCAAAAGCAGCCUUUCAUCCUCACCGGAAAGACUUAAAUUCCUCAUUGAUAAAUCCAAAACCAUCAAACAGCUCCUGCAAAUAUAUGUGUUUCUUAUCGGCCAUGGCGUUGACUGUGACCCCAUACUGAAUUUCAGGCUUCAGAGGUCCUACUCGUCUCUUGGCCAUCUCAAACAUUCUGCCGCGCUUUUCAGAUCAACCCCAAGUCCAAGUGUCUUUACCUACACGACUGCACAGAUGUUUAGCUCAUCACGGUUCUCACGACGGUCCAUUCAGACCCUUUACCCCACAACCAAAACUAGUUUGAUAAAAUGCCUCAACAAACUUCAAUUGAAACCUAAACAUCAUUUUCCCUCCAUUCGCUUUUAUUCUUGCUCUUCUGCUAUUCUCCCAACUGUUGAAAGAGAAACGGUGCCAAAUAGUUCAAAAUUUCAUGCCUCCUCUGGGUUUCAGACAUUGUCCAGAAAAUUUCCUGCUGUGGAUAUUGAGGGUGUACCAUUGCGGAUUCUUGUUAAGCAAGGAGCUCAAGGUAUUACUAAAGUUAGGAAAAGUGAUCUUAAACGGUAUUCUGAAAUGUUCCGAGAUUAUACGCAAACGAAAAAUUUGAAAGAAGGAAAAGUGCUUCAUGGGGAGCUGGUUAGAAAUUUAAUUGACCCAGAUAUGCAUUUGUAUGUUUCCUUGAUUAAUUUUUAUGCAAAAUCUGGGGAUCUAAGUUCUGCACGCAAAGUGUUUGAUCAAAUGCCUGAGAGGGAUGUUGUAUCAUGGACAUCACUAAUCUCGGGAUUUCUACCUGAAGGGAAUGGCAGUGAGAGUGUUAGAUUGUUUUGUGAGAUGAAGAGAGAAGGUGUGAAGCCUAAUGGAUUUACAUUGGCGACAGUUUUGAAGGGUUGUUCUUUGUGCUUGAAUUUAGAGUUUGGGAAGCAGUUGCAUGCUGAGGUAGUAAAAUCUGACACCUUUUCUGAUGUUUAUAUUGGUUCUGCGCUUAUUGAUCUCUAUGCUAAAUGCCAUCAGAUGGAGGAUGCAAAAACAUUAUUUCUUCAUAUGUCUGAGCAGAAUUUAGUAUCUUGGAAUGCCUUGCUUAAUGGGUAUGCACAAGAAGGUGAAUGGCAAGAGGUUUUAAGAUUAUUUUGUAGUUUGUCUGAGUCAGAAUUUAGAUUUAGCAAUUAUACUUUAAGUACUGUUUUAAAGAGUUGUGCUAAUGUGGGUAACUUGAGAGUUGGCCAAGUUCUUCAUUCAGUGGCAAUCAAGAUUGGAAGUGAACUUGAUAAUUAUAUAAGCUCUAGUCUAGUAGAUAUGUAUUCCAAAUUUAGAUUGCCUGAGGAUUCUAUGAGGGUAUUUAAGAGAAUCAGAAGUCCGGAUGUUGUUGCAUGGAGUACAAUGAUUAAUGGCCUUGAUCAACAGGGACAUAAAAAAGAAGCAUUUCAGCUGUUUCAACUGAUGAGGCAUUCAGAUGUGAGGCCUAAUCAAUUCACUCUUGCAAGUGUUAUUAGUGCUGCAGCUGAUUUAGGUGAUUUGCUUUUUUGCAAAAGCAUCCAUGCUUGUGUUUACAAGUUUGGGUUUGACUCUGAGAAUGUGGUUAGCAACACGCUUAUCUCAAUGUACAUGAACUUUGGAUCAUUUAAUGAUGGUUACAAGGUUUUUGUUUCUAUGGAUUCAAGGGAUGUGAUUUCUUGGAAUGGACUUUUAUCUGGAUUCCAUGACAAUGAAACAUCUCAUGAAGGGCCUAAAAUCUUCAGACAGAUGCUUAUUGAAGGUUUCAAGCCAAAUAUGUACACAUUUAUCAGCAUUCUAAGGGCUUGUUCCAGUUUGUCAAAUGUUAGUCUUGGGAAGCAAGUACAUGCUCAUGUAGUCAAAGAAAACUUGAGCUGUGAUUGUUAUGUUGGGACUACUCUUAUUGACAUGUAUUCUAAAUGUGGGUGCCUAAAUGAUGUGGAAGUUAUUUUCAAUAGGUUGACUGAAAAAGAUGUGUUCACAUGGACAGUGAUGACUGCAGGCUAUGCACAGAGUGAUCAGGGAGAAAAAGCCUUUGAAUGUUUUAGUCAGAUGUUAAAGGAAGGUGUCAAGCCAAAUGAAUUCACUCUUGCAAGUUGUGUGAAUGGCACUUCACGUAUAGCAAGCCUUAGUAAUGGAAGGCAGUUGCAUUGCUUAGCAGUUAAAUCUGGGCAAUUUAGUGAUUUGUUUGUGGCCAGUGCAUUAGCUGAUAUGUAUGGUAAAUGUGGAUGCGUUGCUGAUGCUGAAACUCUGUUUGAGGGCAUGGAUUCUUGCGAUACUGUUUUAUGGAACACAAUGAUAUGUUCAUACUCCCAGCACGGACAGGGCAAAAAGGCUCUGCAAGCUUUCAGAAGGAUGUUGAAUGAAGGUACUUUACCAGAUGCGAUUACUUUUAUUGGCGUCCUUUCUGCAUGUAGCCACAUGGGCUUAGUUGAUGAAGGGAGAAGAUAUUUUGAGUCAAUAAACAACAGUUAUGAAAUCAUUCCUUCCAUUGAGCACUAUGCUUGUAUGGUUGAUAUACUUGGUCGAGCAGGCAAGUUUGAUGAGGUGAAAAACUUCAUUGAACAUAUGGAGCUUACUCCAAAUGCAUUAAUCUGGGAGACUGUUCUUGGUGCUUGUACGAUUCAUGGAAACAUUGAAUUGGCAGAGAAAGCCGCAAAAUUUCUAUUUGAAUUUGAACCUAAAGUGGAGUCAAGUUACAUACUGUUGUCCAAUAUAUAUGCUGCCAAAGGGAUGUGGAAUGAUGUUGCAAAGUUGAGAGCAUUUAUGUCUGACCAGGGCAUUAAAAAGGAACCUGGUUGUAGCUGGGUUGAGGUCAAUGCUCAAAUCCAUGUCUUUUUGUCUCAGGAUGCUUCACAUCCAAGAUUAAAUGAUAUCCACAAAAAACUGGAUGAGCUGUAUUUACAACUUAAUUCAGCAGGCUAUAUUCCAAACAAGGAUUAUUCACUUCGUAAUGUAACAGACCAAGAAAAAAGAGCAAACCUCCUACAUCAUAGUGAAAGGCUGGCUCUAGCUUUUGCACUCUUAAAUGACAAUACUAACAAUACUAUAAGAAUCUUCAAAAAUCUACGCAUUUGUGGAGAUUGCCAUGAAUUUAUGAAGCUGUUGUCAGGCACAACACAUCGAGAAAUAGUCAUUCGUGAUGUUACUCACUUCCACCAUUUUUGUGAUGGCACAUGCUCUUGUAAUGAUUAUUGGUGACUUGAUCUUGACCAGUUGACAAAUGAUUUUCAUCAUACAAUGGACUAAAGUCUAUGCCAUGAAUUGAGGUUUCUAGUCUAGUUCAUGAACUAAAGAGCGUGUGACUGUUAUUCCGAGGGAACUGGCAAUCAGACCGUUGAGGUAUAGUGUUGCAUUGGACCUUCAUAUAGAUUGUCUGCCACAUGUCGUUGAAGCAAA